rnacentral:rRNA from 1 species
AACGUAGGAGGCUAGCGUUAUCCGGAUUUACUGGGCGUAAAGCGCGUGCAGGUGGUCUUGCAAGUUGGAUGUGAAAGCUCCUGGCUUAACUGGGAGAGGUCGUUCAAAACUGCAAGACUUGAGAGUGGUAGAGGGAGGUGGAAUUCCGGGUGUAGUGGUGAAAUGCGUAGAUAUCCGGAGGAACACCAGUGGCGAAAGCGGCCUCCUGGACCACUUCUGACACUCAGACGCGAAAGCUAAGGUAG